ACCUGGGUGGCUCAGUCGGUUAAGCAUCUGACUUUGGCUCAGGUCAUGACCUCACGGUUCGUGAGUUCAAGCCCCACAUCAGGCU
rnacentral:tRNA from 1 species